AACGUAGACGGUUGGAUAAGUCAGAUGUGAAAGCCCCGGGCUCAACCUGGGAAUGGCAUUUGAGACUGUUCAGCUAGGGUGCGGAAGAGGGAAGCGGAAUUUCCGGUGUAGCGGUGAAAUGCGUAGAUAUCGGAAGGAACACCAGUGGCGAAAGCGGCUUCCUGGUCCAGCACCGACGUUCAGGUUCGAAAGCAUGGGGAGCAAACAGGAUUAGAUACCCUGGUAGUCCAUGCCAUAAACGAUGAGGACUAGACGUUGAGAGGGUAAGCCUCGCAGUGUCGUAGCUAACGCGCUAAGUCCUCCGCCUGGGGAGUACGGCCGCAAGGUUGAA
rnacentral:rRNA from 1 species